GAUGCUCCCAGAGGCUGCUCUCAGUUCAGAAGCUUCCUGUAUUACACAAAGCCUGCCCUGCAGGUCCCGAAAAGGCAGAGGAUGGGAAAACACAUCAUAGAGUCAGCUUGUGAUAUCACGCAUCAUCUUUAAGAAAGCAUUUGUGGAGCUUCACGUAAAGCCCCUGUGCCUCUAACGUGGGCCCAUACCUGGGGAAAAUAUUUGGAUAGAUUUUAUCUGGCAAAAGGCCAAGGAAGCCAGCCAAGAUGAGAUCUGUUCCUCAGACUCACUCAUUGCAGCUCCACAAGGGCUCACCUCAUGGACAUGCUGCAAGAACAGGUUCAUGUAACAACAGUAACCCUAUGAGGUAGAUGCUCCCAUUGCAAGCUGUAACUCUGCAGAGAUCAAGUCAAUGCCCAAGAUCAUUUGCGCUGGGGAAAGCUAUUCCAGCUGUCCCGUGCAGAGACGUGCUUGGCAAGGAGCAGAAGUUGCAGGCCAACAACUGCAUGUGGGGGCAAAUCCACCAGCUUCAGUCAAGCCUCGGAUGACUGAGCUCCCAGCUGACAACUUGAUUACAGACUUGUGAGAGACCCUUAGCCAGACCCACUCCAGAUCCAGGUCUCAGGAGCCCUCGGGGAAGGUUUGGUGGCUGCAGAAAGGACUUUCUCUGAGAAUCCAGAAGUGACAUCAGGGAAGAACCUCAAAGGAUCCAUGGUCCCCCAACACAGAGCAAGUGACUGCAGCUCCUAGAAUCUCUUCCUUCAGGGAGGCCCAGAGAAAUUAAGUGUUAAGAGGCCUUACCCUCAGACAACAUCUUCUCUCAGCCUCUGUGGCUACAGUAUGUACAGUGUGCUGAGUGUGGAAGGACCUCUCUCCCCAUUAAAUCUGUAGUGCGAUCACAUGGAAGGCAUCUGAGGACCUAGAGCAAGGAAACAUGGCUAUCCUGCCCCACUGUGGUCCCGAUCUGGGUACUGAAUCAGCAUCUUCCAAGGAUUUUUAAAAUAGAAACCCCCAGUUCUCAGCCUACACCAAUGAAUCAGAAUCUCUCAGGAUGGGGCUCAGGGAAGCUGUGUUUUUAAAAACUCCAAGUACCUUACUUACCUUCUCACCAUCAUGAAAAUAGAAAUGAACAAAAUUAACAAGGCAACAAUUUCCAGGCACUGGACCAGAGGCACAGUGCAGAACUGUGAUCUCUGAGAGGAGGGCAACACUCAAGGGAGGGAGACCUGUGUUUGCCCAGGUUCUGCCCAGGUGAAGCACAGGGAGGGGAAACCCAGGCAGACCACAGUGGUCUGAUGGAGCUGAGCAGAAUUCGGAGCUUGGGCUGCUGAAGUGGCUGGCAUAUGUGGGGGCAGAAAACAGGAAAGGAAAGCUGCAGAGGGAGAGAACAAAGACCCCAGAAAUGUGUAUGCGCAUGUCCUGUGGGCUGUUGGUUGAAGCCCGGGCUUUGAAGAACAGAGCAAGACUUGGUGGAGCCUAGCAGAGAGCAGCUGCUAAGGGCCUGGGAACAGAAUGGAAACAUAGGGAGACUCUCUGCAGGGCUGGGAGUUCCAGCUCAGCUAGAAUGGAGAAACUCUGGUGUGCAUCUCAGUGGAGACUGCAUAAAGGCCAUGUAUUAGGAAUAAAGACUACGCUUCUAGGAGAAGGACUACACCCUAGCACAGAGUUUCUUGGUAUCAGCAAUACUAGCAUUUUAAACAGGUCAUUUUUAUUUUCCCCUCCGGAGACAGAGUUUCACUCUUGUUGCCAAGGCUGGAGUGCAAUGGCAUGACCUCAGCUCACUGCAACCUCUGCCUCCCAGGUUCAAGGGAUUCUCCUGCCUCAGCUUCCCAAGUAGCUGGGAUUACAGGUGUGCACCACCACGCCUGGUUAAUUUUUGUAUUAUUAGUAGAGACGGGGUUUCACCAUGUCGGCCAAGCUGGCCUUGAACUCCUGACCUCAGGUGAUCCACCCACCUCGGCCUCCCAAAGCACCGGGAUUACAGGCGUGAGCCACCAUGCUCAGCCCAGGUCAUCUUUUUUGUGGGGAUUGUUUUGUGUAUUAUAGGAUGUUUAGCAGCAACCUUGCCCUCUACCCACAAAAUGCCAAUAGCACCCCACCCCCAUUUAUGAGAAACCAAAAUGUUUCCAGAUAUUGUAAAAUGUCCCUGGAAUGGGGAGCAAAAUUGUUCUCAGUUGAGAAUAACUGUCCUAGUAUAACGGCCACAUCUUAUGACUAAUGAUGAAAUGAAAAUAGACCAGUCCUAACAACAACAACAAAACAACAAAAGAAAACAAAGUGUAAUAGGAUCAUGAGAAUUCAUCAGUAUUUAAAUGUCUAAAUUAAUAGCCAAACUCAUAACAUUUAAAGGAAAACAACAUAAUCCAAUCUCCCUACAAGGUAUCAUCCACAAUAUCCCACCUACAGUGAGACAAGUGAAACAAACAAAAAAAUAUGAUCUAUAAUCAAGCAAUUGGUAGUCAAUAGAAACAGACACUUAGAUGGCACAGGUAUUGUAAUUAACAGAAAGACUACAAUAGCUAUUAUAAAUGAGGGGUCAGGAAAUGUAAAGAUGGAUCAAUAGAAAUUAUUCAAUCUGAAGAACAGAGAGUAAAAAGAGUUUUUUUAGAAAAAAAUGAAUAACCAUUGCUAUUGACUUUAAUGUGUCAAGAUUUUCAAUGGAGAAAGAAAGUCUUAUCAGCAAAUAUUAAUAGUAUAGAAGAAAUUGGAUAGUGACAUGGGAAAAAAGAACCCCACACUACAUACAAAAAUCAGCCUGAGAUGAAUCAAAGAUGAUUUAGAUUUUAAAAGUGAAGUCUAAAACAGUACAAAAACUGAAAGAAAGCAUAAGAGGAUGUGAUUUUGGUAAGCCAAAGUUUCUUAAGUGGGACACAAACAGCAACCAACAAUAACUAUAAAAGAAAAAUAUGAUAAAUUGCAUGCCAUCAAAUUAAAACCUUUUGUUUCUCAAAUGCACCAUGAAGAAAAUGAGUAAGCAAGCCACAGAUUGGGAGAAAAUAUUCCCAAAACAUAUAUUUCACAAAGGACUGGUGUCCAAAAUAUAAAAAGAAUGCAUACAACUUUUUAGAGACAGGGUCUCAUUCUGUUGUCCAAGCUGGACUGCAGUGGUGUGAUCAUAGCUCACUGCAGCCUGAACUCCUAGGCCCAUGUGAUCCUCCCACCUCGACCUCCCAAGUAGCUGGGACUGCAAGCACAUGCCACAACACCUGGCUCAAUUUUUUUUUUCUUUUUUUAUAGAGACAAGAGUCUCCCUAUGUUGCCCAACCUGCUGAGCUGGUCUGAAACUCCUGGGCUCAAAUGAUCUCUUGGCUUGGCCUCCCAAAGUGCUGGGAUUAUAGGCCUGAGCCACCGUGCCCAGCCUAAAUCCCCAGUUUUUGAAAUAAGCAAAAUAAAUUUGAACAGACAUUUCGCAAAAGGAGAUCCAUCAUUGGUCAAUUACCACAUGAAGAGUGCUCAACAUUGUUGGUCUUCAGGAAAAUGAAAAUUAAAACCACGAUCUGUACAAAUUCAUCCAACAAAAUACCUAAAAUUCAAAAGACAGAAAACAUUCAGUGUUGGAAAGAAUAUGGGGCGAUCAGGACUCUUGUGAACUGUUGGUAGAAAUAUAAAAAAGUACAACCAGUUUGAAAAAAGUUCCAACAGUUUCCUUGUAAAAUUAAAUAAACACCUGCUUUAUGAUCAAACAAUUCUACUUCUAGGUAUUUACCCAAGAAAAAGGGAAAUACACAUUCACAGUAAAAGACUUGUUCAAGAAGAUUCAUAGUAGCUUUAUUUACAAUAUCUAAAAGCAGAAAACAGCCCACGUGUCAUUAAUAGUAGACUGGCUAACUAAACUGUGGCAACUUCACAUUGUGGAAUCCUACUCAGAAGCAAAAACGAACAAACUCCUGUUACAUGCAGCAACAUGACUCUCAAAAAAUCAUUAAGCAAAGAAAAAAACUUACAAAAAAGAGUAUAUACUGCAUUAUUUUAUUUAUAUAACUUUUUUUUUUGGACAGAUUUUCACUCUUGUCACCCAGGCUGGAGUACAAUGGCAUGAUUUCGGCUCACUGCAACUUCUGCCUCCCGAGUUCAAGUGAUUUUCCUGCCUCAGCCUCCCAAGUAGCUGGAAUUACAGGCAUGCCCACCACACCUGGCUAAUAUUUUUUAUGUUUUAAUUUUUAUUAUGUUUUUAUUUUUAGUAGAGACAGGGUUUUACCAUGUCGUUCAGGCUGGUCUUGAACUCCUGACCUCAGAUAAUCCACCUGCCUCGGCCUCCCAAAGUGCUGGGAUUACAGGCAUGAGCCACCAUGCUAAGCCUAUAUAAAGUUUUAUGAGAAACUUUAAUAAUAACUUCAAUUUUCCAUAGGUUAAUGUAAAAUUAAUUAAACUGGUGAAAAAUAAUUACAACAGUGGUUGUCUCCGGGGAGGAAAUUGACUAGGAAAGAGCAUGAGAGAACUUUCCGGAGUGAUGAUAGUGUUCUACAUCUUGAUAGAAGUUUGUGUUAUGCAAGUGUAUGCAUUUGUCAAAAUUCAUCAGGUGGUACACUUAAAAUUUUAAGUGUGUCAUUGAUGAGUUUUGACAAACUAUAGGUAUAAGGUUUAUACGUAUGUACUUGUAUCUAGAUAUAAAUCUUACCUUUGAAAAGAAACCACAAACAAAUAUUAAACUCUUGUAAUAGUGUCUAUGCUAUUACAUGGAUUUGAGGACAAACUGUAUUGAUGCCCACAACUUACUUUGAAAGCCAUCCUAAAAUUAGAUGGAUUGAUGGAUGGCUAGAAAAUGAGCAGAUGGUUAGAUAUGUGAUAAAACAAAAUGUUAAUUAUGGAAUCUUAGUGGUGAGAAUAUGGGUCUAUAAUUUCUUCAAUUUCUUAUAUGUUUGAAAAAUUUCAUAAUAAAAUAUUAGAAAGUAGAUGAACAGAAAGUCAGUAACUAGUGGGUCAAAAUCAAGUUGUCAAACAUAUGCACAAUUGAAUUUCCUGAAGAGGAAAAAGAAAGAAUGGAGAAAAAAAAUUCGGGAAUAAAUAAUUUCCAAAAUAUCUCCCAAAUUGGUGGAAAACGUCAAUGUACAGAUCCAAGAAUUCUAAAGAACUUUAAGUUGGAUAACUACAAAGAAGACAGUAUCUAGGUGCAUCACGGUCAAACUGCUAAGAAACAAAAAUAAAGAGAAAAUCUUUAAAGCAGCCAGAGGAAAAAAGUCACAUCAUGUAUGAAGGAAUGAUUAAUUAAAUAAUAGCCGAUUUCACACCAGGAAAAAAAAUUGAGCCCAGAAGACAGAAGGAUGGUAUCUUUAAAGUGCUUGGGGAACAACACCAGUGCAACAUUCUAUGUCCUACGCUCCCCCAAAGCAAAGCACAAACAAAACGAGAUAUUCUUCAAAAACAAGAGGGAUAGAAAGACGUUCAGAUAAGCAAAAGCUGAAGCUGUGUGCCAACAGGGAAUAUGUGUUAUAGGAAGUGCCAAAUAAAGUUCUCAAACUGAAGGGAACUAGCAACAAAUAGGAAAUCCAAUCUAUUGUAAGAAAAGAAAUGGAGAGCUUUACUAAUAAAUAGUAAAUAUAUGUAUAAAA